rnacentral:tRNA from 1 species
UUUAUUUUAGUGUUAAAGCACAUAAAAUUUUGAAUUUUAUAGAAUUAAUUAAUUUUAUAGAAUUAAUUAAAU